GAUGAACGCUAGCGGCAGGCCUAAUACAUGCAAGUCGAACGGUGUCUUCGGACAUAGUGGCGCACGGGUGCGUAACACGUAUGCAACCUACCUUACAUUGGGGGAUAGCCCUUCGAAAGGGAGAUUAAUACCGCAUAAGACAGUAGCUGGGCAUCCAGCAGCUGUUAAAGAUUUAUCGAUGUAAGCUGGGCAUGCGUCCAAUUAGCUAGUUGGUGAGGUAACGGCUCACCAAGGCAAUGAUUGGUAGGGGAACUGAGAGGUCAAUCCCCCACACUGGCACUGAGAUACGGGCCAGACUCCUACGGGAGGCAGCAGUAGGGAAUAUUGGGCAAUGGACGCAAGUCUGACCCAGCCAUGCCGCGUGCAGGAUGAAGGCGUUAUGCGUUGUAAACUGCUUUUAUACAGGAAGAAACGACUCUUGCGAGAGGCAUUGACGGUACUGUAUGAAUAAGCACCGGCUAACUCCGUGCCAGCCGCCGCCGUAA
rnacentral:rRNA from 1 species